rnacentral:rRNA from 1 species
UACGAAGGGGGCUAGCGUUGCUCGGAAUUACUGGGCGUAAAGCGCACGUAGGCGGCUUCUUAAGUCGGUGGUGAAAUCCUGGAGCUCAACUCCAGAACUGCCUUCGAUACUGGGAAGCUCGAGUCCGGGAGAGGUGAGUGGAACUGCGAGUGUAGAGGUGAAAUUCGUAGAUAUUCGCAAGAACACCGGUGGCGAAGGCGGCGCUCUGGACCGAGACUGACGCUGAGGCGCGAAAGCGUGGGGAGCGAACAGG